GACGGUAAAGAUUUCUUGGAAACAGAUGCUGAGAUUGGUGACGAUGGGAAGCUACAUGUGACGGUGAGGAAAUCGAAUGCUUCGCGGCGAUCUUUGGGGCCUGGUUCUUUCUCUGCAUUGACUCCACGUCCCUCGAAUCUUACUGGAGCUGAGAUUUAUAGCCUAAGUUCAUCAAGAAAUCCAACCCCAAGAGGAUCUAAUUUUAACACUUCCGACUUCUAUAAUAUGAUGGGUGUGCAGGGAUUCCCUGGUGGAAGGCUCUCAAAUUUUGGUCCAGCGGACUUGUACUCUGUACAAUCUUCAAGAGGUCCAACGCC
rnacentral:misc_RNA from 1 species